rnacentral:rRNA from 1 species
CUUGGAUAUGCCUUGAUGUGGGGGAGUAACCAUUGGAACGAUGGCUAAUACCGCAUAAUGCCUACGGGCCAAAGAGGGGGACCGUUCGGGCCUCUCGCGUCAAGAUAUGCCUAGGUGGGAUUAGCUAGUUGGUGAGGUAAUGGCUCACCAAGGCGACGAUCCCUAGCUGGUCUGAGAGGAUGAUCAGCCACACUGGGAACUGAGACACGGUCCAGACUCCUACGGGAGGCAGCAGUGGGGAAGUCUUAGACAAUGGGCGAAAGCCUGAUCUAGCCAUGCCGCGUGAGUGAUGAAGGCCCU